CAAUGCGAUUCAUUUUGUAAAUUUUUUUAAUUUUGGUAAUCUAUAACAUACUAAUGACAGUUUUUUUUGGUUGUUUUUUAAUUGAUGAUAGCCAUGUUUGAGAUAACUUUUAUUACUACAGUAUUGUCAUGACAAAUCACUCCGUAACUCAAUAUAUCUUGAAUUCUCCAUCGUGCUGCAGGGAAUCCUCGAAAUCACUUACAUGCCCACAUUGCGGUACAUUGGUAUUAAAAAAUACACUGCUCAAACUAAAAAAUGAUCCUAGCGCUCGAGUAACAUUGGACAACUGUUGAAGAAAUAAAAACGCUGAAGAUGCGUAGUCUUAUUUGUCGAAGACCAAAUUCGCCAUGACAAUUUUAAUGUGUGUAUUAAUACAAUAAUAUCCAAGGAUAAUAUUAUUAAACAUGGUGGAUCAGUUGAACAGAAUCAUUGUUUAUCAGUGUUACACAUGUAGUUUGCACCACACAAAAAGAUAAAUCAGUC